rnacentral:rRNA from 1 species
GCCGAAGCACGUAAGGGCGUACGGUGGAUGGCUUGGCAUGAAGGAGCCGAUGAAGGACGUGGCAGCCUGCGAUAAGUCUCGGGGAGGUGGCAAGCAACCUUUGAUCCGGGAAUUUCCGAAUGGGGGAACCCCAUUACAUGAACUGUAAUGACCGCGCAUCUGAAUACAUAGGGUGCCGGAGGGAACCUGGGGAAGUGAAACAUCUCAGUACCCAGUGGAAAAGAAAAAAAGUUACGCGGACUUCUUUUCUCGAUCGAUCGUUUCGGUCGGUUUGAGAAAAGAUGUCCGCACCAUUCCCUUAGUAGCGGCGAGCGAAACGGGAACAGCCAAAACCUUUGUCAUUAACUUUUUGCACCGAGUUGAACGCAAGUUUGACCGCGGGCGGAAAGGGCGAACGUGGGUUAUCGUGACAUGGGUGUUGUUGGGACGGAGCAGGCAUCUCCCACAAGAUGCGAAAUGAGCGAGCACUGUUAGUUGAAUCCACUGGAAAGUGGAACCAAAGACGGUGAUAGUCCGGUAGACGAAAAUAGACGCUCCCAUUUGUUCCAGAUCCAUAGUACUACGGGGCUCGAGAAACCCCGUAGGAAGCAGCCACGACGAUGUGGCAAGGCUAAAUACUCCUUCUGACCGA